CCUACGGGUGGCUGCAGUGGGGAAUAUUGGACAAUGGGCGCAAGCCUGAUCCAGCCAUGCCGCGUGAGUGAUGACGGCCUUAGGGUUGUAAAGCUCUUUUGUCCGGGACGAUAAUGACGGUACCGGAAGAAUAAGCCCCGGCUAACUUCGUGCCAGCAGCCGCGGUAAUACGAAGGGGGCUAGCGUUGCUCGGAAUCACUGGGCGUAAAGGGCGCGUAGGCGGCUUGCCAAGUCGGGGGUGAAAGCCCGUGGCUCAACCACGGAAUGGCCUUCGAUACUGGCAGGCUUGAGACCGGAAGAGGACAGCGGAACUGCGAGUGUAGAGGUGAAAUUCGUAGAUAUUCGCAAGAACACCAGUGGCGAAGGCGGCUGUCUGGUCCGGUUCUGACGCUGAGGCGCGAAAGCGUGGGGAGCAAACAGGAUUAGAUACCCGGGUAGUC
rnacentral:rRNA from 1 species